GAGGUGUUGAUGCAGCUAACUUAAUCUCAUUCAUGCUGGAACUUAGUUUUCAUGUCAUUGGGGAGGCAUAUAAUAUAAACUCAUUGACUGAUUUCCAAAGGAGCAUAAUUAGGGAUCUAGCAGACCUUGGAUUGGUCAAACUUCAACAGGGUAGGAAAGAAAGUUAGUUUAUACCUACAAAAUUGGCAACAAAUCUUUCAGUGAGCUUGG